rnacentral:rRNA from 1 species
UACGUAGGGGGCAAGCGUUGUCCGGAAUUAUUGGGCGUAAAGAGCGUGUAGGCGGUCCGGUAAGUCAGCUGUGAAAGUCAAGGGCUCAACCCUUGAAAGCCGGUUGAUACUGUCGGGCUAGAGUCCGGAAGAGGCGAGUGGAAUUCCCGGUGUAGCGGUGAAAUGCGCAGAUAUCGGGAGGAACACCAAUGUCGAAGGCAGCUCGCUGGGACGGUACUGACGCUGAGACGCGAAAGCGUGGGGAGCAAACAGG